rnacentral:rRNA from 1 species
CCUACGGGUGGCAGCAGUGAGGAAUAUUGGUCAAUGGCCGUAAGGCUGAACCAGCCAAGUAGCGUGAGGGAAGACUGCCCUAUGGGUUGUAAACUUCUUUUAUGCGGGGAUAAAGUUGUCCACGUGUGGAUGUUUGCAGGUACUGUAUGAAUAAGGAUCGGCUAAUUCCGUGCCAGCAGCCGCGGUAAUACGGAAGGUCCGGGCGUUAUCCGGAUUUAUUGGGUUUAAAGGGAGCGUAGGCCGGUCUUUAAGCGUGCCGUGAAAUUUUGUGGCUCAACCAUUAGAGUGCAGCGCGUACUGGAGGCCUUGAGUGCACGGAAGGCAGGCGGAAUUCGUGGUGUAGCGGUGAAAUGCUUAGAUAUCACGAAGAACCCCGAUUGCGAAGGCAGCCUACCGCAGCGUUACUGACGCUGAAGCUCGAAAGCGCGGGUAUCGAACAGGAUUAGAUACCCUUGUAGUC